CGGUAGCAAUGAAGAUUGUUCGCCUGCAAAACUCUAGUUAAAGACCUUACUGAUGGCAAAUUGUUGAAGAAGAAUGUAUGCUACUGUUUAUCUCGUGUGCUGGAUUUGCUGGGACCAAACUUUACGUACGAUCAACGCUACGUCCUUACACGGUACAGAGAACUUCACAUAAAGCUGUAACGAUUACACUUACAAGAAAGCAUUGGAACUCUCAUUGAAAAAUCUGCCAUAGAUUGGGCAGAGUAUGGCUGCAUCUAUUCCAGGCAUUUAAUCUUUGCUGCACCUUUCUGCUGGAUUUACAAAGGUUAAACUGCAGAUUGAGAUCGUCUCUCACAGCUUUAAGACUCAAGAUAAUUAAAU